UUAGAUAGAGUGUAUGACAUAUUAUUUUUGGAUAAUAAUGAAUUAAAUCUGUA
rnacentral:tRNA from 1 species